rnacentral:rRNA from 1 species
GACGAACGCUGGCGGCGUGCUUAACACAUGCAAGUCGAACGGAAAGGCCCUGCUUUUGUGGGGUGCUCGAGUGGCGAACGGGUGAGUAACACGUGAGUAACCUGCCCUUGACUUUGGGAUAACUUCAGGAAACUGGGGCUAAUACCGGAUAGGAGCUCCUGCUGCAUGGUGGGGGUUGGAAAGUUUCGGCGGUUGGGGAUGGACUCGCGGCUUAUCAGCUUGUUGGUGGGGUAGUGGCUUACCAAGGCUUUGACGGGUAGCCGGCCUGAGAGGGUGACCGGCCACAUUGGGACUGAGAUACAGCACAGACUCCAACGGGAGACAGCAGUGGGGAAUAUUGCACAAUGGGCGGAAGCCUGAUGCAGCAACGCCGCGUGCGGGAUGACGGCCUUCGGGUUGUAAACCGCUUUCGCCUGUGACGAAGCGUGAGUGACGGUAAUGGGUAAAGAAGCACCGGCUAACUACGUG